rnacentral:lncRNA from 1 species
AUAUAUAUAUAUAACGUAUAAGUAUAUAUAUUUAUAUAUACUUACAUAUCUACCUAUCUACUUACUAACGUAUGUAAGUAUAUCACUAUACGUCUCAACACCAAAAAGUGAAGAAGGAUAGUGAAGUGGUGUUUGGAGAUAGUAUAAAAUGGACGCUCAAUUGCAAACUGACGAUUCUGAAACAGGAUCUAAAAGCUGUCAAUGAGAAACUGUGUCGUCAGAAACAAUAAGUGAGAAGAAAACAAUAAACACAAAAAUUUAGCGGAAACAGGUUGCAGUGCACAGUGGCAUGAGAGGAGAAGCAAUAUUCUAUGUCUUCACAAGAAGACAGAAUAUUUCUGGAAGAAAAUUUAGAGCGAGUAAAUGGAGUUUAAACAAGGUGUCUGUGACUGGAAGAAAUUCGAAGAAGUUAUUGUCUUUGCGUCACACACAAGGCAAAUAGCAUUGAUGCUGAUACACCUAUGACUCUCAAUCCAGAAACUUCAAGAUGUAAAAGUACUUGGAAGAGAUUUGAUUGUUGUACAAGAAGCUAGCCUUCUGCCGACCAUAUGUUAUCAACCUGUAGCAGCAAGCUCUCAAUGGGAAUAAUAGCAUACCAGAUUGGCUAGCAAUUGCAGACCCACAUCGUAAGCAGUUGUCCGAAAAUGUCUUCACGGUACUAUCUACCGAUGAGACAUAAUGUAGCUAGGAUAUUUUGUAACGGAAUCUGUCAGAAGGAUAACCCCGAGGACAAAGAAAAAAGAACUCACAGUAUGGUGGAAGCCAUAGCCGCUCUUAAUAAAAAGGCGUACUGGUGGAAUGUGUCCGAGAAAACCUCAAUAAUAAAUAGUAAACACAAUAGAGUUGACAUAAUGAUUUGUGGUAGAAAAGAGAAAUUGUGUACAGUUGUGGAAAUCAGCUGCCCACCUGAAGAUCAGUGAAAAAGAAAAUACCUACGCCGAACUAUUGAUAAAUUUGCAGUUACUCUAUCCAGAAUACAUAUUCAAGUAUUGUAAUUAUUGGGGCACUGAGAUAUGUAAAACACUGCCUAAAUACCAAUCUUCAGAAAUUAGGCAUUUGCAAAACAGAAAGGGGAAAAUUGAUUCGAAGACUGCGGAUGAAGUCUAUCACUGGAACUCUAAAAAUCAAAAAAAAGAAAUUACAGAAGUUUAUCAAUGAAAUUGACAUGAACAUGACUAGAUACGCAACUGCAUGCAGCGUUCAGCAUACAAACAUAAAACAAAGCAUACAAAUCUUCACGUAUACAUACAUAGGAAAUGUCCUGUUAAUGCUGUUCAAAUUCCAAGGAAGGAGCCUUAGAUCUAGGUUGGAAACUGGCUCUUUCUCUAUUUGCAAGCGAUCUUGAAAUAAAACUGAAUAUUGACAUACAUACAUACAUACAUACAUACAUACAUACAUACAUACAUACAUACAUACAUAUGUACAUAUAUACAUAUAUACAUACGCACACACUCAUGCAUACGUGCAUACAUACAUAUAUGCAUGCAUCAGCUAUAUAGCUGUAAUUCUUCGGGCCCUGCGUUAUGUAACACACUGCGUAAAUACCAAUCUUGCGGAAUUAGGCUUCUCAAAAUCAGAGAGAAGAAAGCUAAUUCGAAGACUAUAGACCCAAUCCAUCACUGGAACUGUAAAGUCUGUAAAACAUUCCAGUUUAUCAUUUAGAUAUAUAUGAUAUGAUCAUGUCUAGAUAUGCAGCUAUAUGCAUGAGAUUACAUACAUACAUACUUACAUAUAUACAUAAAUGCAUGCAUACGUACGUACAUAGAUACAUAGAUACAUACAUACAUACGUACCUACAUACAUACAUACAAAAAUACCCUGUUGUUGAUGUUGAAAUUCCAAUGAAGGAGUCUUGGAUCUAAGUUAGAAACCGGUUCUUUCUCUAUUGGCAAGGAAUCUUAAAAUAAACUGAAUGACAUACAUACAUACAUACAUAUGCACACACACACGUAGGCUAGAAAUAGUAUUCACGAACUCGUUACUUGUCACACUAGCUAAUUUAUUUCCUUUUAACAUAUUUACGGUUAACAUUCCUUUGCUAUAAUGUUUGUCUGGUAUUGAUUACUCUCUUAACCAUUGUUGUCUGCUUUUUGUAACGCAGGUAAUAUAAAUAUGCGUGUGCUAGUGUGUAUGUGUGUGCCCGAGUGUGAGAUGGGAGUAUGAUUAUGUCCUUUAAUCUUUUGAUUAAUACCGUUCAUACAACAACUUUAUGUUACUUUGUUUGCAUGCGCAGUGAGCUAGCAGUGACCUUCAUGAGGGCGUUGCCGAGUGACAUUGCUGUGUAUACUUCACAAUUUGUGAAAUUUGUGCUUUUGUGAUUUCGUCUAUGUGGUAGUCUGUGAUUUUGUCAUGGACAGGAACAAAGAGCAUGCUUUGGCAAGCUUACGGAGACGAUGCAUUAAUUUGUACGCAAGGUUUCGAGUAGCACGGGAGCUUCAGAAACGGAAGAUGAUGAGUGAUCUGGAAUGCCUAACACGAAGGUCACCUCCGAAAAUGUGAAUUUAGGCAUCGAAAAUUCGUCCCCCCAUGGCCAGACCGUCAGUCGAGAGUUCUACUGCGAUAUGUUGAAGCAUUUGUGGGAGAACAUUUGGCGAAAGCGAAUGGAUCUGUAGAGCGCGAAGAAUUGAAGUCUUUACGAGGAAAAUACAGCCUAUCAUCGAGUUAUCCUCAAUCGUGAGUAUUGCUUCCACACCCGUCCUCUUCGCCAGAUUUAGCACCUGUGGACUUCAAUCUCAUCCACAAGAUGAAAAUGCAGCUCAAAGGUGGCCGUUGUGGCACCAUUGUCGAGAUCUAGAGUGAAUCGCAGAAAGGGCUGACUCGCUUAAGAAAAUCGACUUCCAGGCCGGAUUCCAAAAGUGGAAGGCACGCUGCGACCGGUGUAUUGGUGUACAAGGUGCCCAUUUAGUAGGAGAUGAGGUCAAAACAGAAGUGAAUAAGUUAUUUCCUAUUAAAUAUAACUAGUGCGAGAACUCUUUUAUACCAUUUAGUAUGGACAUUUGAAUGAAUGCUUGUUUAGAUUACCCAAAAGCGUAGAUAACGUGGAGCGAGAUAUUCUCAUAGAAAUUAGGAGUGGCUGUUUGGUAAGUAGCUUGCUAACCAACCACAUGGUUCCGGGUUCAGUCCCACUGCGUGGCAUCUUGGGCAAGUGUCUUCUGCUAUAGCCCCGGGCCGACCAAUGCCUUGUGAGUGGAUUUGGUAGACGGAAACUGAAAGAAGCCUGUCGUAUAUAUGUAUAUAUAUAUAAGUGUGUGUUCCCCUGUGUUUGUUCCCCUAGCAUUGCUUGACAACCGAUGCUGGUGUGUUUACGUCCCCGUCACUUAGCGGUUCGGCAAAAGAGACCGAUAUAAUAAGUACUGGGCUUACAAAGAAUAAGUCCCGGGUUCGAUUUGCUCGACUAAAGGCGGUGCUCCAGCAUGGCCGCAGUCAAAUGACUGAAACAAGUAAAAAGAGUAAAAGAGUAAGAAUAUUUAUACUUGUGAUAGAUUUCAGAGAUGAAAUCUAUAUUACCCUGUAGUGACAGGGACAUUCUUAUGAGUAGACAGCAGUAAUAAUAUAUGAGGAAGAGUCAUAGUUCUAAAGUUACAAAAUGUAGAGAAAAUUAUUUUCGUUUUAUUAAAUUAGAGAAUUUAUUUUUAUUUAAUCAAAGAAAGAUGUUUUAAUGUACAAUAAUUAUAGUAUUUCAGUGAUGAUAGUCAAUAGUAAUUUAAUACAAUAAGACAUUAAAAAUGCAGGUGAUGUGUAAUUCGUGAUGAAUAAAGAAAAGUUUGGUUUGUAUAAAGAAAAUUAAACACGUAGCUUGAUUCGUCUGUAUGUAAUAUACUAAUGGGAAAAGAAUAUUAAUACAUUUCUUCGUUUUAAUUUUUUAUUUUAAGAUUGAGAAUUUGUAUGAUAAUAUAUGUCGUUUAUGCGAUAGAAUAUGGCAGAGUAUAUAAGCUAAUAUAUAUUAAGAUAGAUUAUAGAAGUAAAUAUCUAUGAGAUAGUUGAAAACUCCAAAUAACAUAAUUGUCACAACACACACACACACACACACACACACACACGCACACACAUACACAUACACACAUGCACACAUAUAUGUAUGCAUACAUGUAUACAUAUAUAUGCAUACAUAUGUAUACACACACACACACAUAUAUAUAUAUAUACAAUUUGUAUAUGGACACAGUGAAUUGGUAGUGUAUGUAGGGGCUUGUCAAUCUGGAAUUAUCCAAUUAUAACCACACUAAACGGCCUUUAUUAAAUGAAAUAAACUCUUUCGUGACAACGAAUGACAUCUCAGAAUUAAGUUUUCAUGAACGUGCUGAGUGUAAAUAUACACAGCUUGAUUUUUUAAAGUCAUUAUAUUUUGCUUCGACAGAUUUAUAUAUACAGGGUUCCCCCAAAACAUGUACUCAAUCUUUGACUUCCCAGCACUAAUGUAUUUUGUGUUCAAGCAGAUGGUUAUUGAUAUACAUACAAUCCUAAAUAUCUAAAUUAAAUUCAGGAAAAUAUAUUCGUGUAGAAACGAUUAUUUAUUGUCAUUUAGAAUUAUUUAAUGUUCUCUCUCCUUCCUGCGAGUUCGCAAAUGUUCAAACUGCUUUUCUUUAUUUUCCAAACAAAGCUAACGUCCAACAAUGGAUUCGACAACAUUGUCAAACAUUGCAUUUGGAAUUGCAAGGCAUUGUAUUCGAAUUUCAUUUUUCAAAUCAUCAAUUGUCACAGGUUUUACAGCGUAAACUUUAUCUUUGAGAUGUCCUCAUAAAAAUAAAAACCCAUUGCCGUGAGGUCUAGAGAACGUGCAGGAAAUUCAAGGCUACCUCUUCUCUCAAUCUAUUUGUUUGGAUUUGUUGCAUCGAGGUAAGCCCGUACAUCCCGAUGGUAGUGAGGGGGAGCUCCAUCUUGCUGGAAGUAAAUCUCCUCGCCCCCAAACAUCUCUUCAAUUCGUGGACCGACAUUUUCCACCAGUAAGUUUCAGUAAACUGGGCCACUGACAGUUUGGUAAAAAAAGAAAUUGGCCCAACGAUACCCAAUGUUGACAUCCCAUACCAUACUGUUACGCCUAGUAAGUUCAGAUGGUGCUCCUUAGUAAAAUGUGGAUUUUCACGGGUCCAGUGUGUACAAUUUUGUCGGUUGACUGAACCAUUUAACUUGAAAGUGGUCCCAUCGCUCCAUAAGAUUUUCUCAGGAAACGUUGCAUCCUCUGCGAAUUAGUUCAGAUACCAUUUGCAAAAUUGAAAUCAGGAUCAUCUUCAUUGAGAGCUUAAAUUGAAGUUGGAACGUAACUUUUCCAAUGAGCUCGUUUCAAUAUCCGAUGAACUCUCGAUUUGGGGAUUCCUAUCUCACGACUCAAUUGUCUUACGAAUUUCUUUGGGGAUCGGGAAAGCGUUUCCAUUAAUUGGGGGUGUCUAUUGGGACUGGUGGAUGUUCGUAGCCUUCCAGAACUUUCUUAACAGUUCCGUACGCUUCAAAUGUAUCUCUGAUGCAAGCAAUAGUGCGUCGUAUUGGUGGUUUCUUGUGAAACUGUCUGUUAAGUUGCGUUUGCACUUCAGUGACAUUUUCGUGCUUCCAGUAGCAAUUUAAUAUAUUUUUCCCUCAAAGCUUGGUUGUGCAUUUGCAAUUGUGAAGGGUUCAUUGUGUUUGAAAUAAGAAAAUACAAUGCAUUAGCAAUCGUGUGUCAAAGAAUGAAUACAUCUUAUUGGGACACCCCGUAUAAAAUAUAUAUAUAUAUAUAUAGGCAUAAUUAAAUCUCAGAAUGAGAUUGAAACAGUAAUCGCUCGAUAAUGUAAAGUAUAGAAGCCAUCUUAUCAUGGCUAACCACAUUGGGGAGGGGGUGUUACUGUAGCUUUAUAGCCCCAAGAGAUGUUCGUCUCUAGCUGGCUUUAGACACAAUAUGUGUGUCCUUGGAGUAUUUGCAAAGGGAGGCCAUGCCUUCCUCGCAAGCCUGAGUGAUACGCUCGAACUAGUUUCGGGAUUGUUGUCCCUCGUCAACGGGCGGUAACCACCAGGUCGCGAUGAAAGUGAAGGCUGCUUUGCAAACAUAUAUAAGUUUUUCUAAUGGCGUCUGCCACUGAUGUCGAAAAACGAACAGUAAGCCUCGGGCCGACCAAAGCCUUGUGAGUGGAUUUGGUAGACGGAAACUGAAAGAAGCCCGUCGUAUAUAUGAAUGUAUAUAUACACGUGUGUGUGCUUGUGUGUCUGUGUUUUUCCCCCUAGCAUUGCUUGACAACCGAUGCUGGUGUGUUUAUGUCCCCGUUACUUAGCGGUUCGGCAAGUGUGUGCGAGUGUCUGGGUGUGUGCGUGUGUGUAAGAAAACUGUGUGUUGUCAUUUAUGUAUUGUUUGCAUAUAUGUGUAAGUGACACUCUACUCGAUCUCUCUUUCUUUCACACACAUUAUCUUUCAUAUAAACGUACAUAAAUACAUAUGCAUACAUUUUUUUGUAUAUGUAUAUGUAAGUGUGUGCCCCCCGUAGUUGGUCGCUUAUCGACUUUUAUUGAAAUCCAGUUAGACUAUAAUUGAACUGCAUGUUAGUUCAACAUGUAUACAAGGUUUGGUGAAGAGUGUUUCCCUGGUUUGGGCAGCAAGAUGGUAACAGUCAGACGCACAGACAGAAUUUGCCAUUUAUAUAUAUAUAUAUAUAUAUAUAAUAUAAAUAUCACGUGAUCACGUGACCGACCAGACCAUCAGCUGUUGUUACACAUCGCUGGUCACAAUGCGUUCGCAUUGUUUUAGCCUUCGAAUGACACCACCCCGCUGGCUAAGCGAGCAGGCCAACAGAAGAAAGAGUGGGAGAACGAGUGGUGAAAGAGUACAGCAGGGAUCACCACCCCCUGCCGGAGCGUCGUGGAGCUUUUAGGUGUUUUCGCUCAAUAAACACUCACAACGCCCGGUCUGGGAAUCGAAACCGCGAGUCCGCUGCUCUAACCACUAGGCCAGUGCGCCUCCACACACACACAUAUAUAUAUAUAUAUAUCAGAUAUAUAUAGUGAUGUGUAUUUACAUAUAUAGUAAAGUGGAACAUAUUUAAUUCAGUAAUUGUUGAAGUGAGAUUGGAAAUUAUAUUAGCUGUUUACUACUACACUACCCAAGAUACAUUUCCCAAUCAUGGAAUAAUCGUGGAAUUGUACGUGUUCAUUCUUCAGUUCUUAAUUAAGAACUGAGCUCUAACUAUUAUUAAUACAUACUAUCAGCACUAAUGUAAUAUGGUUUCUUUGCACAUUAAAAUAUAUUACAAUUAGAGAACCCAUUGAUACUUCUUACACAGCCUUACAUAAUGAAUUAACAAGCACAGAACCUGCUUUGUCUUAUAUCACAACAAUAAGAAUAAUGCAUUUCAUGGUAUUCAGUGUCGUCUCAAUCGUUAAUUUGGAAUACAUUUAAAAGUUUUUUUAUUGGGAGAUACUAGAUUGUAAAGAUUGAACCAGAAUGUCACUGAAGUUCAGUGACAUUUGCCACCCUGAGAUUCAUCAUUUAUUAACUAAUAAAUGUAUACAUUUAAGAAACUUGUUGUUCCAUUUAGGUCUAACUUUCAAAGUCAGUGGGAACUUAAUUAGUGACUAUAGUAACACACGGUCAAAAACUAUUGAUCAAUUAAGACGCUUAUCAAUCCAUAACGCAACAGUGAGUUUCAGUUAAAGAAAUGUGUUUUUCUGAAGAUAACAUUUAAUGUCCCUUGCUAGAUAAUGAGAAGCAAUGAGGACAGAGAGAAACUGGUGAUUAAAAAUAGUUUGGUAUGAUUAAUAAAUUAUGGUUUGUUUAAUUUUUUGAAUUAUUUGGGAUUUUACGCUUCAGUUACACUAAUAACUUGAUGUUUAUUUUCUGCAUUUUGAAAUGCUCUCGUUCCGUGGUAUUGUGAAGUGUGUUUAGACGCAAUUAAUCUAAAACAGAGAGUCUUAUGUAUUCCUUUUAUAUUUUAUAUUAACCAAAUUCACGUUUUAGUUGUUUAAAUAUUUCCACAGGAUUUUGGAAGUUAGUAAUGUGAUUUGCUUAGAUUCAAGUUAAAAUUCCAAAUAUAUUGUAAAUGUUAAUUAGUAAAACCUAACAGAUUAUGUCUGUUUGACAAUUAGAUAUGCUUAGAUAUUUUAAAACAUAGUUUAUAAUAUUCGUCAUGAAUAUAGAUACAUGUUCAUUUCAUCCUUUCGGGCUCCAUCAAUUAAAUACCUGUUGCGUACGGGAGGGGGGCUCUAAUCGACUGACCUCCUCCCCAAAAAUUUCGGGCCUUGUGCCUAGAGUAGAAAAGAUUAUAGAUACAUGUUGCUUCUUCUCCGUAGAGAAAUACGAAGUUUGUAAAGCGUCAUUGGAUGCCAGCGUUAUCUUAAUAAGCAAUCGCCCAUUGCGUAGAAAGACGGGUAACAAAACAUAUUUUCUCUUCGGCCUUUCCUUUGUUCCAGUCAUUGAACUAUCAUCAUGUUGUGCACAAUCCUGAAGGGAUUAAUCGAAUAAAUCGACCUUACUAAUUUAUUUAAAGCCUUGUACUUAGGCUAUCGAUCGCUUUUGCAGAACAAACACAAAAACACACUUGCUCGCUCAAACGCGCGCGUGUACACGCACAUACGGGUAUAUACACCCCAACCCAACACACACACAUACAUAUAUAAUGGCUUCAAAAGUUUGGCACAAGACCGAGAAAUUUUGUGCGUAGCGGAGUCGAUUGCACUGACUCCAGAAUUCAAACAAAUAUUUACUUCAUCGACUCUGAAACAUGAAUCCGGAAAAAAUGCUUCGAAGCACUAUGCCCAACGUGUUUCACCCCUACCUUCUCCAUCCUUGAUUCUGCCAGUUAAACACUAAUUCUCAGAAUAAAUACUGCUUUCAUACCUUAUAGAGAUUUUUCCUAACUAGCGAGUUCGCUAGUUGCAAUAUCAGAGCUAUGCAUCACUUAUUUUCAAUAUAUUGAGUUUUCAAACCUCUCAUAAAUAUUUACUUCUAUAAUCUAUAUUAAUACAUAUUGCGCUAUUUCUGACGGAUGAGUAUACAUCACCGAGGAUCACCAUAAGAAGGUCGAGGCUGUACAUUUCUGUUAUAGUUGCAGUACUUGACGUAGGAUUUUCCUGCUUAUAUUUUGGAUUUCUGUUUUCCUGCAAUCUUUUCAUUUAUAUUCUGAACCGGAAGAAUAUCCUCGUGUUUGCACUGGACCAUUGAGUGUUUUGGGGCCAGUGCCUCUGUGAGGAACCUCACUUCCGCAUUUCCUCGUGUGAGGAAAUCAAUCAGUCCAAAUGUACUUCAAGCAUUUUUCUACUUGGAUGUGUGACGCAUAGAAAUUUUUCCUCUCGUUAGCGACAUACAUCUGUGUAUGAUCGUCCUUCUGGUCGUCUUCUCCAUCAAACUUGGGAUAGCAAUCUUGGUUUUCCUAUCUCCUCUGUUGAGGAGUUUUUCUACUUCACUCAGGUAGGCAUGUUUACCGUCCAAGGGAGAUUUGCUCCUGUAAUCUUGUUACUCCUGCUAAGGAGUUGUUUAUAUCGUUUCUAUAAUUGUUGGUGUUGACUACAUCGUUUCUGCUAAUGAUGCUGUUCCUGUCGUUGUUAGUGUUACUCGGAACAAAAGCGGCGCUUUUCUUUGUGGUGAUGCUCAUAUCAUCGACCGAAGUAGACAAGCUACUUGCUAACGAGGGGAAAUAAUUUAUAUCGUACCUGUGCUGCAUACCUUCCUCUCCCGGCAAAGAUGUUACUGUUGUUAUCGUUACUGCUGCUAUUGUUGUUGUUGUUGAUGCUACUGCUGUUGCUGUUUUUGUUGCUGUUCGUAGAGGUAGUGGCAGAGGUGAUGAUGACGGUCAGUGGUGUAAGCCUGGCUGUUGCUUGUGAUUGGGAUGGUCAUCUUGUUUUGCCUCAACAGGCGAAUAACUGUCACCCCCUCUCAUUUUUGUAGCAAGACAAUUCUCUGUCUUUCCCCUCUCUCAUUGACGACUGAAACUCGCUCGAAACUAUUUGUUGCUGCCAUUGAGCAAAAAUUCUAAAUUCUUCCACGUAGAAUAACAUAUGGAAUAACUUCGAUAUGUCCCCCAAGAAACAGGGGGAGUUUUAAUAAAACAGGAACUCACCAGCAGAAAAUGGAUCUCUUAUUGUCGACCCUGGUGGAAAAUGACAGGAAAGCACCGCUAUUUUCCGGAGAACACUGACGAUUUUCGGAAAUGAAACAAGGAAGCAAGGUCAAGCGUGUCUUCCUCGACUGGCGGCCAUAAUGCUAAUAAUAAUAAUAAUAAUAAUAAUAAUAAUAAUAAUAAUAAUAAUAAUAAUACCCUGGUGCAGUACCAGUCAUUGACCCUCAUAGCUCUUGAUCUUUACUGAUUCGAAGUGUUAUCACGUACAUGGUUUGUUUUGACAGCAAAUAUUCUGCCCAAUAAGAUUUACUUGUCUGUUGUUUGACCUUAACCAGUUGAGAAUUCCCUUGCCGGUUGGCGAUAUGUGCAUCUCUGAUCACGAGCAGAAAUAGUAGGGGAGCAUCAUAGCCAUGUUUUCAGGAGUAUGAUUUGGGGUUUGAAUAAUUCAUCUCUGGAAACAUAGGAGUUUCGUUCAACAUCCUUAUAGAACCUUUAAGCACGACUUGAAUAAAAAUCUAACUGGGCCCCAGUUGUGAGAUCAUGUGCUGUUUAUCUUCGAAUAACAUCGCCAUGUCGCACACAUGGCUGUGAUUUAUGUGCCUUGUGUACCUUUAUGAGACGUGCAGUCAUAAUGUAUAUGCUGGGCUUCAUAUAUUUUACCUCAGUUUCACUUUUGAAUUGCAUACGCUGCUCCCACACUCAAUAAUGAUAUUUUUCUCCGCGUUAAUGAAAUUUAAAAGGGGUAAGUUUCACAGAUGACAUAUUGUUUAAGUUGCAGUGAUGCCGUUACCAAUAUAAAUUUGAAAAUGUUACUUCGGCAACGAAUGUUUAACGCAAUUUUCCAGCACUUGCGCUGCAGUCGUUCCAAACUUAAUAUGAAUACUUUUAAAAGUCAAUAAAUAUAUAACAUGAAACAAAAUACAAUUCAGUAAUUUUACUUUGAGCCAUAAGACACUCACAACACAUGAAAAUGUGCUUUUGUGUGAUAUAAAAUAUAAAUUGUUAUAAAUUGACCUGAGGCAAAAGUACAAAUAUAUAUAUAUAUAUAUAUAUAUAUAUAUAUAUAUAUAUAUAUAUAUAUAUAUAUAUGCGUGUGUGUGGGUGUGAAUACUUAUAAAUAUGUAGUAGUAGUAGUAGUAGUAGUAGUAGUAGUAGUAGUAGUAGUAGUAGUAGUAGUAUGAAUGUGCUAUUUACAGCGGAAUCCAGCUUGUUUAGAUUAUAGGUUUAUAAAAAAAAAGGAAUCUGGACAAACAUCAAAGGAAAUAGGAAUCUAAGCUUUCUGUAUAUCCAACUUUAAGCAGUAACGCAUCUAUGUUUCCUGUUAGAUUUUGCAAUGGGAGGAGCAUGAAGUAAACCUAAUUUUAUAUAUUGUACACAUUGAUAACUUCUAUUUUUCUGUUGAACUGAAAUACCAUUUCCUUUCGUGAUUGUUAGGCAUUACAGGGCAGAAACGUGAGUAAUUCUGCUUGACAAUUCUAUUUCUGAUCUUCCAAACACUACGCAUGCAAUAGGUCACGCAUUUCUAUUUUAAGGAAAGAAAUUGUGACAUGAACACACGAUAUAACACAUAUAUUUACAGGGGUAUAUGUUCUGUCUUCAAUAUCUAUGUAUUUGCCUGUCUUUCUAUCUAACAAUUUAUCUAUGUUUCUAUCUGUUAUUUCUCUUUCUCUCUCUCUCUCUCUCUGAAUAUAUAUAUAUAUAUAAACACUUCGCAAACUAAUCCUAAUAUUGAUUUCUGAGAUGUACAUAUUUUGCUUAUACAAGUGAUCAUACCUACUUAUAUAUAUAUAUAUAUAUAUAUAUAUAUAUAUAUAUAUAUAUAUAUAUAUAUAUAUAUAUAUAUAUAUAUAUAUAUAUAUAUAUAUAUAUAUAUAUUAUAUUAAAACACUUCCAUAACCCACGCUGACUCUCUCCGUCUCACCUCUUCUCUUUCCCUCUCCUUCUCUCCCUGUCUCUGUAUAUACAUUGCUAUAUUGAUAGAGACAGACAGAUAGAUAAACAGAGACAGAGUGAGAGAGAGGGAGAAAGAGGUAGGGACGUUAAUAUAAUACAUGCAUAGGACGGCGGUAUUUUUCUGCCGCUACGUUCUGAGUUCAAAUUCCGCCGAGGUCGACUUUGUCUUUCAACAUUUCGGGGUCGAUGAAUUAAGUACCAGUUACGCACUGGGGUCGAUACAGUCGAAUUAAUGCGUUAGUCUGUCCUUGUUUGUCCCCGCUAUGUUUGCCCACUGUGGGCAAUAAAGAAAUACAUAUAUAUACAUGCAUUCUUUUGUAAAUAUAUACAUAUAUAUAUAUAUAUAUAUAUAUAUACAUGUAUGUAUAUACAUAUGUAUGUAUAUACUUUCCGCGCGCACGUACGUAUAGACGUGUGUGUGUGUAUGUGUUUGUUUCUCGGUGUGUAUUUUAGUCCGUUAGUCGAUGGCUUCUUGAUUGUAAGAUUAUAUAUUUCUAACUUAUUAACUCUACGUAUAUGCAUCACUAUUAUUUGGCUGAAUCUGCCUUGGCGAUUGCAUGUUACGUAUAUUAUCGAAAACAAAUGUAAUUUGAAAUGCAAUCGAAAAAAGCUUUGGUAUCUGAUAAUUUAUAUCUCCUGGAUAUUCACCUAUAUCACCAAACAACAUACACAAUUCCAUGACAUUAUAUAUUAUGGAAUGAUGGCGAUAUUCUUGUAAGUUUGUAAUAUGCAUUUCAGCUAAUAUAGAGUCAUUGAAAGCUGAUUUCUUCAAGUCAAAUUACACGUUACAUAACUCUGAUGGAUAUUCUAAUUGUCACGGUCAGCUUUAUGAUGUUCUACUAUUCGCAAAAUUUCUAUUUCCGCUGCAUGUAGAUACAUACGAGCUAAGGAUAUACAGCCAAUCAGUGUCGCAUAUAUUUAUUUAUCAACGGUUUGAUCAACUAUCCACAUAUACACAAUAACACUAUUAUAUACCUCGUCACAGUUAUAUGGGGAAAUAUAUGCAUGUAUAUCAAUAAAUAAAUCUCUCUGCACACAUACUCACACACAAACACAUAUACGCACACAAAAACACACAAAUACACGCAAGCACACACAAACACACACCCACAUAUAGGCUGCAAUGGGUAAACUGACGUUGAAAUUAGUCAAAUUAGGACACAUAUAUCUCAUGGUAGACCAAAUGAAAACACCAACAAUUCAGAUUAUUAUUAUUAUUAUUAUUAUUAUUAUUAGUAGUAGUAGUAGUAGUAGUAGUAGUAGUAGUAGUAGUAGUAGUAGUAGUAGUAGUAGUAGUAGUAGUAGUAGUAGUAUUGAUGUUGUUGUUGUUGUUGUUAUUAUUAUUAUUAUAUGUUUGGCUUUUGCCUUGUAUGUGUAGAACUUGACCCCAAGUCUUACCCAGAGACACCAAGAGACAACAAUUUAGAAGUUCAAGUUGGUGUUAUGACUAGAGUGCCAUAUAUUUGGUUUUGCACAGAGUAUUGCUCUAGAGAACGUCUGUCAGAACAUAAGUAAAUUAGAAGUUUGUUUUAAAAGUAAUUUGAUUAUAAGAUGAUUGUCAGAUGUUAAGAUAACAAAAAAAGGUAUUUGCUGUUAUGUACAUUUAAAAGUAUUUUCACACUAUUUACAGAUUAAAAUAUUGGGGGGGAUUAUAUAGACAGUAUUUAAACGUAGGAUAUGGACAGUCCCCAUGGUCAUUUGUUUUUAAAAUUUAUUCCAAUUCUGGAUUUCCUGGUAUCUGAGCUGAGUAGCAGUCAGCCACUUUUACUUGGACUGCUAACAAUUCUGCUAGCCCAGCACCUGUUCAUGCUCUGCGUUCAAAUUCCGCCGCUUUGCCGUCAGUUCUGCUUUUAUCCUUUCGGGGUGGAUAAAAUAAGUACCAGUUGUGUGCUGGGCUGAAUGUAAUCGACUUACUCCUUUCCUCGAAAUCGCUGACCUUGUGCCAAAAUUUGAAACCAUUACUGUUAUUUUCACUGUCGUGGUGGUGGCUGUUGGUGUUGUUGUUGCUGUUUCGAGUGAGUCUAUUGAGAGAUUUCAAGAGGUUUGCUGCUAGAAAGAAAAGCAAAAAAAUUGCAUUUAAAGUAAUUGUCUUGAUGAGGUAAUGGAAGAACGGAGCAGAUUGAACGGCGUGAAAGCGUAGUACCGGAAGCACAAGUUCCACAGAGACGGACAUGUCGAAAGCGAAUACCUGUCGUUGCCGAGCGGUAUUCAAGACAUCAGAACGGGCCACUCAAAAAGCCUGCACGACGAUGGGAAGCUGAUUUAGUUAAAGGAAUUGGUUAAAAGCCCAAGAUGGAAUUGAAAGUUGCCAUCAAGAAAUAAUUAGAAGUACAUUGAGAUUAGUGGUGUAUGCCAACAUCCGAUAGUCAGGACGAAUCAGGGAGAAACUGCUGAGGCAAACUUGUACAUUUUGAGAAAACAAGAAAAUGUAAUGUAAAGAUUUUAUUUCAAUUUCUUAUUUCUUUAUUGGCCACAAGGGGCUAAAUAUAGAGGGGAAAAACAAGGACAGACAAAGUGAUAAAGUCGAUCACAUCGACCCCACUGUGUAACUGGUACUUAUUUAAUUGACCCCGAAAAGAUGAAAUGCAAAGUCGACCUCGGCGGAAUUUGAACUCAGAACUUAAAGACAGACGAAAUGCAUAUUUCUUUACUACCCACAAGGGGCUAAAUACAGAGUGUGCAAACAAGGACAGACAAACGGAUUAUGUCGGUUAUAUCGAUCCCAGUGCGUAACUGGUACUUAUUUAAUCGACCCCGAAAGGAUGAAAGGCAAAGUCGACCUCGGCGGAAUUUGAACUCAGAACGUAGCGGCAGACGAAACACCACUAAGCAUUUCGUGCUGCGUGCUAACAUUUCUGCCGCUUAUUUUUAUUUCGUACAUCUUCAGGAAGCUUAAAUUGAACCUUCUUCAGAUUUGCAGAGAUGAAACAGUUAUGACUGAAUCGGCAUCACAGGACCAACUCAAAAUAUGUUAAGUACCGUUUUUAGGUUAUUUGUCCAAAAUAUAUUAAAUUCGUAAGACUGUAUUUACGUUACAUCCGGCCAAUGAUUGCUGCUAGUGUGUACACACAGACAAACAUUAUUGUGUGUAUGCGUGAUUAUCACAUGGAGGUACGUGUACGCAUGUUUAUGUGUGCGUUGUCUGUUUAAAUGUGCUUUAGCUUAUGUGUAUUUGAGCGUAUAGUGGUGAUGAACCGGUCGCUUAUGUGCGUGCGAGUGAUAGCUUGAGAAACAGAUUGGAAGUGAGAGGCGAAACAGAAAGAGAUUGCUAAUGUGUUUGUGAACACACGUGACAGCGUGGUCUCAUUGUAAUUGUAUAACCAACUACAUCUCAGACGAAAACAAAGAUAUAAAUGUAUUUCCUGUUAAUCUAUUUUUCAAUUGAUUUCGCUUUCUUCUGGGAAUAUCCUAUAAAGGUGAAAAUGAAACUAUAUUCACAAAUAUUUGUAUAGUUCGUAAGGAACAGACUUCUAUAUUUUUAGUCUAACAUUACUACGAUUUUAUUCAACAUUGCUGAAUACAUUACAAUUCAUGAACAGAAAUAAUUCAAGUAAAAAUAUUAUAUUUCUAAAAAUGGAGAUAUAUUUGUAUUAAAUUAUAUAAUUUUACAAAAUUCUUGCGCUUAGCAAUUCAACCAUUUUGAAUAAAUGUUGAGAAAACAUUCCUGUUUGUUUUUUAUAUGUGUGUGUGUGUAUGUGUGUGUAUGUGUGUGUGUAACAGUGUGCUAUUUGCUUUUUAAAUCUUUAAGAUUUCUGUAUUUUAAAAAUUAUCGAUAGGAAGGGUACUCAUAUACUAGUAGUAGUGGUAGUUGUGGUGGUGUUGCUGGUGGUGGUGGUGUUGUUGUUGGUGGUGGUAUUGGUGAUGGUGGUGGAGGUGGGGCGGGUGUGGUGUUGUUAUGAGCAGGAUGAAGGAAAUGUGAAUAUUUAUAUAUUUAUUUAUACCUAAUAUGCAUAACAAUAAAAAGAAAAUCAUGGUUUAAUCAAAUAAUUAAUGCUGUUUAUUUCAUCGAUUGAUACCGGUUGCUUUUGUUCUUCUACAAACAACGAGGCAAUUGCAUUUUCGAAGAGAAUCUUUUUAAAAUUUCAUGAUGAAUAAUAUUGUAAAGCUCAAAGAUCACACAACUACUUUGUAGAAUGUUGACUCCAUUUAUUGUAAACUUUGAAACGCAUAAAGAAGGAACAAAGUGUCAAUUUGGCCUUGAAUACUGGGAUAUGUGGCUCUUCGGUCAUCGUGCCCAGUCUAAGUAGGCAUGAGAAGAAUUUUCUUCAAUGUAUUCACUUUUAAAUAAAGUAUACUUCAACGUCCGUUAACCCAGAUGGGCUGCAUUGUAACAUCUCAAAACUACAAGGAAAAGAAAACUAAAACAAAAUGAAAUAAAGGAGUAUAGCAUUGCUAGUUUUGUAAUUGGUACGGAUAGAGCUUGUAUUAUAAAAGUAGCAGGCUUGAGUGUUGCAACAACCGUUGGACGGAAAUUCGAUCAAAACACUUACCUUUCGUUUUACUGAUUAGAUAUGUAUGAAGGACAAAUUUGUUCCCAGCAAUGUAGAAUAACGUGGAAUAACAGAUUCGUUAACACGCCAAACGAAACAUAUUCCACUAUAGUUUUCAGCUUCUAAAAUUCCGAGCACGACCUAGCUCUUCGUUUUUCUGAGGGCAUCGGGUUGGCGGUAUCUUCAGAGUAUUAGAUGGUAUGUCUUGUAGUAGUUUUGCAACAUAUUUUAUCGAAAGUUCAAUCAGCAGGAGUGAAUGACUCACUCCGUCGCGCAUUUCAACUCGGUGAUACUUAGCUAUAUGUAUCUAAGUUCAUUUUAUUUCAGGAUUACGGACCAGACCUUAAGGUUGAAG